GCGCCAGCUGCCGUUAAACCGAAAGAAGGAGAAGAAGAUUUCAGCCAGCACAUGUGCGAUGUCACUUGACUGCUUCUUCUGAGUUAAUUUUGGCGGACAAGUUGCUGGUGGUCUUCGUUUUUGGAAGUUGUAAGAGGUGGAAAUUCUGAGGAUUUCUACUGUUCCACUGUCUCAAAGUUCAUAGACAAACAGACUUCCAAUCUCCUCAGUGUGUUGAAGAAGAAAGGAGACUCUGCAGGAAGGGAACUUCGCAUACUUUUGGCCCAAAGCAACUGUUGAAAAGAGGAGGGAGAUCAUCCUCAGGGCAAUUGGUUUCUACCUGAUGAAGACCCAAACAUCCUCUUCAAAGAAAACCCGGUCGGUAAUUUCAGUAGUUACUACCUGCAUUAAACCAAACGGCACCACACAAUAAACCACACAGUAAGCCAACCACACUGUAAGCCACACAAUAAGUCACACAGUCUAACGCGAGCAACCAUGGAAGAGUGAGCCUGAGAGCGCUUCACUGGCUCAGCUUAUGUGCCCCACUGAUUGCCGCUGAUCAGCUCCAGCUGCGGGAUUUACGCAGCGCCAGGCUCAGGGCCCAGGUACACACCUGCAGAAAAGAGACAAGCACAAGCCACAGACCUCACGGGUCGUAACACAGCUGUUUGAAUAACGGCUGCUACUAAACUUUCACAUGAUCAACAAAGUCAAUAUGCAACUAACGUUAAUGAUUUUCGCCCGCACACUGUGCAGCACGGUGGCACAUAGCUAGCGUCCUCUCCUCCUUCACAGGACAGCUACGUGACAGGUGGCAGUAGGUGACGGUGAAAAUGAGCAGAGCAGAGGAAAAUAUGAGUGCUACAUUUUAGUCUGGCUGUAAAUGUACAGUGUAGGUUACAGUUUGUCCGUUAAUUAAAGUCUGUCUGUUCUCCAACUGCUGGAAAAGUGAAGGCAGUUAGCGAUAGGUAACGUCUCCUCUUCAGACUGCGGUCUGGAAGCUGAGCAGGACGUUUUUUGGCCGUAAGUUCAAAUUUGUUUGUUGUCAUUCAUCCACAUAUCGAAUACACAAUGAACCCAAUGCCGUUUCUCAAGGCCCAUGGUGCUCAAUACAAGAUUACCAUAAACAACUUACAAGACAAGAAACAAACAUGUA